AGCCCUAGCUUUUUUACGAGCAGAUCGAGAUCAGAUCGUAAAAGUCAUCUCCAUCAGUAGCUCCGAUCUUCCCCGUCAUCUCCAUUAGCACCGCCGUCCGACGCCGUCCAUCAGUCUCCAUCGUCUCCGCCGUCCACGCUCUCCAUCUUCCCGUCGUCCAUCGCCGAUCUACGUCCCCGCCGCUGCCGCCCAAGGUCGCCGCCGCCGUGUACGCUCUCCAAAAAAGAGUUGAAUUGAAACCAGGAAAGCCAUACACUCAUCAUUUCGACGGCGAUAGAGGAAGGCUCCAUGUUUCUCAGAGUGCUAAUGGUUCAUCCUAGAAAUCUAACGGUUCACUAACAGAAAGCAUACCACAAACAAAUGGUAGAAUCAGAACCCUUGCUGGAAAUGAGUUGGAUAUGAGUUGGAGUCAGAAGGCUAAUGAGACAGCUGAACAAUAUGCCAUCUUCUGUUAUAUCAAGUCACACUAUGCAUCUGGGAGUUCUUGCUACUGCAUCGCAUGCCAUAAAUACUAGGACUCUUUUCUCUGUUUUUUACAGGCCAAGGACAAGUCGGUCUGAGUUCAUUGUGAGUGUGAAUAAAUAUAUUGAAGCUCAAAAUCACUAGCUCUCAGUUGGGAUGAGGUUUGAGGGCGAGGAAGUUCCAGAAAGAAGUUGUACAGAUUCAGUGGGACCAUUGUUGGUGUUCAAGAUAAUACAUCAUCUAGAUGGCCUGAUUCUAAAUGGAGAUCUCUGAAGGUUAUCACUCAUCACACUUGUGACAUCAUUCAUGAUUAUUUGAGUUUAGCUUAACUAUAAACUGAUGAUUCUAGAAAUAUACAAGAUCUGUCUUUUCAUUUCCUCGACUCUUACAAAGCUAUGCCUAUCAUAGCAGACAAAUUGACGAAGGACAUGUAAUUUCUGUAAUGGUGUUUUGCUUAGUAUUUGGUGCAACAUUUUCCCCCUUCCAUUGACUACUUCCAUAUACCAUAUGAGAGCCAUAUUGUUAUUUGUUUGUUCAAGUUCAAUGGGAUGAACCAUGCAUCUUCAAUCGUGCGUCCUGAUAGGGUUUCACACUUUCACCAUGGGAGAUAGAAGCACUUGUCACUUCGACACCUCAAACGCUCCAGCCUCCACAAAGGAACAAGCGUGCACGCCCAGCAAAUUUACCUCCAUCGGUAUCUGAAUUUUCUGCGCUAGGCACAUGGAAAUCACCUAUUGAUUCUCCCCAAUCGUUCUCAUAUUGUGAUACAUCCCGUGGGACAGAUCACUUCCCAUCACCUAAGCUGAAGAGGAUUCUCAAACAUCUUGAUUCUUAACAACUUAGAGUAUGGAAUUUCUCUCUUAUUUUGAAGUAGUGGAGUGGCUAGUGAUCAGCGUGCCAGUUGUUAGAGUACAUAAUUUCUCUCUUAUUUUGAGUUAUAUGUUAUCUAGAGAACUUGUAUUUAUUAUGUUCAAUCCAUGAUAGCGAACUAUUUGCUGAUAAGGCCAAAAUUCUGACCUUGUGUUCUUUGUUUAUGUGAUGGAUGAGGAAAUAUUUUCUUGUA